GAAGUGCGAGAAAUGUGGGAAGACGCUGACCUCUGGGGGCCACGCUGAGCACGAAGGCAAACCCUACUGCAACCACCCCUGCUACGCAGCCAUGUUUGGGCCUAAAGGCUUUGGGCGGGGCGGAGCCGAGAGCCACACUUUCAAGUAAACCAGCCCUGCCAGGAGCCCGGAAGUGGGUCCGCACGAGACAGAAUAGACUACACUCAAACUCCAGGGGAACCGUUCAUUGGGCUUGGACACGAAGGCGGGACCCUGCCGACGCAGUGAUUGGAUGCAUGUCCGGCCAGCGCGGUGAUUGGACCUCCGCGCUCUGGCAGCUCCUCUUCCGUGUGCUCUC
rnacentral:lncRNA from 1 species